AAAGAUGUGGCUCAGUGGUAGAGUGCGUGCUUAGCAUGCACGAGGUCCUGGGUUCAAUUCCCAGUACCUCAA
rnacentral:tRNA from 1 species